rnacentral:rRNA from 1 species
GACAGAGGGGGCAAGCGUUGCUCGGAAUUACUGGGCGUAAAGGGCGCGUAGGCGGUAUGGUAAGUCGGUCGUGAAAUCCCUCGGCUCAACCGAGGAACGUCGAUCGAUACUACCGUUCUUGAGGAUUGCAGAGGAGACUGGAAUUCCCGGUGUAGCGGUGAAAUGUGUAGAGAUCGGGAGGAACACCGGUGGCGAAGGCGGGUCUCUGGGCAAUUCCUGACGCUGAGGCGCGGAAGCGUGGGGAGCAAACGGG